CAGUAGCCGCGGUAAAACGGAGGGUGCAAGCGUUAAUCGGAAUUACUGGGCGUAAAGCGUGCGUAGGUGGUGGUUUAAGUCCGUUGUGAAAGCCCUGGGCUCAACCUGGGAAUUGCAGUGGAUACUGGGUCACUAGAGUGUGGUAGAGGAUAGUGGAAUUUCCGGUGUAGCAGUGAAAUGCGUAGAGAUCGGAAGGAACAUCUGUGGCGAAGGCGACUAUCUGGGCCAACACUGACACUGAGGCACGAAAGCGUGGGGAGCAAACAGGAUUAGAUACCCCUGUAGUCCCUGUCUCUUAUAC
rnacentral:rRNA from 1 species